UACGUAGGGUGCAAGCGUUAAUCGGAAUUACUGGGCGUAAAGCGUGCGUAGGCGGUUCGUUAAGUCUGCUGUGAAAGCCCCGGGCUCAACCUGGGAAUGGCAGUGGAUACUGGCGAGCUAGAGUGUGUCAGAGGAUGGUGGAAUUCCCGGUGUAGCGGUGAAAUGCGUAGAGAUCGGGAGGAACAUCAGUGGCGAAGGCGGCCAUCUGGGACAACACUGACGCUGAGGCACGAAAGCGUGGG
rnacentral:rRNA from 1 species